CGGGAGUCUUCUUCAUUGAGUAUGCCCAUUUUAAGAAAGAAAGCAUCGUCUACAUGUGAACCAGUUGCUUGUUUGGUAGUCUUGGGGUGCUCUACCAUAUGUUUGAUUUGUUCACAUCAUUAAUGGCCUGAAUUAUGUUUUAUUUGUCCAUCAAUUAUAUAAUUUUUUGGUAAAUUAUCUAAUCAGUUUUCUGCAUUUUCGCAUCUAUAGUGGGAUAAACUUCCAAGGUUAGCCAUUGAACCAUUUGUCUUAUUGCUUUCACCAUAUGAGGAGCUUUGGUUUCGCCUGGGACACUCAAAUUCGUUGGCAUACAAGCCUUUUUUGAAGACCACGAGCUGAAAAAGAUUGUAUUUCGAGUUCUUAAACAUCGGUCAAGAUGGAAUUAGAGUGAAUCUAGAAAGCUGCACACAAGUCACGUUCACUUCAAUUUAUCUUGAAAGAUCAAGAAUGUUCAGAGUCAUAAAGUAUUACUGUUUCAUUGUUUUGGCAAGUUUCUGCAUGUAUGGCUUGAAUGUACAGAAGUUGGAGUGAUAAGGAGACACCACUUAUAUCUCCAAAUUAAUGCAGAAACUUGCCAGUUAUUUUGUAUCUUUUUAUAUAUGGUUUUGGCUGGGGUCUUGGUUAGUUAUUAGAACUUGAAAUUCAUCUUCUUUUUUCUUCUUUAUUUAUUUUUAUUAAAGCAUGUAUUAAAGAAGAGAAUAGAUUUGUUUAGGCAGGAAUUCAGGCUCAUUUUCUGUCGUACUUAAUUAAUGAGUUUUCUUGUCAUAUUGAUUAUGAGACUUUGCAGGCUGAUCCUGCUUACCUAAAAGAGUCCACAGUGGUCCUACCAGUUUAGAUUAAUGGGAAAACAAGGGGUACAAUACAGGUCGAAGAAACAUGUGCAGAGGAUGACGCUUUCAAACUGGCUUCAAUUGACCAAAAACUCUCCAAAUAUUUGGACGGUAGAAAUGUCAGAAAAAGAAUUUAUGUUCUCGGUAAAAUUUUGAAUGUCAUAUUGGAGCCCCAAAACAUCAAGGCAGGCAUCCAGUAGUGUCCCCAUGUAUGAAGAUUGAAAGUCUACACAACAUAGACCAGGUCAAUUUGCGGCAGAGAAAUUUCUAAACCAUAGAAAGUUGUGCUUUUGUCUGAAAUGUUGAUUGGCAGGUGCUAAUUGUAAAUUGCAAUGAACAUAUUUUCCUUGUAUUCUGGUGCUAAACAUUCUUUUGUACACUGACAGUCUGUUUGGAUGGGGUGAUUUUGUGAGAACUAAUAUGAAAUGAGAGAAAAAAUGGACUGUUAUUUGUUUAUGUUUUGCACAAAGAAUGCUGAUUGUGCAAAUGAUGCAUGUGGUAAACCAAAGGAGAGUACCAAUUUGAAUGUCAUUUUAUCUUUAACCUA